GUUGACGACCACAGCGGAGGGGGUACACCUGUUCCCAUACCGAACACAGAAGUUAAGUCCUCUGUCGGUCUCGAAGAGUACUGCUCAAUAGGCGGAAAAUUCAGGCUGUCGCCAACC
rnacentral:rRNA from 1 species